GUGCCAGCCGCCGCGGUAAUACGUAGGUGGCAAGCGUUGUCCGGAUUUAUUGGGCGUAAAGCGAGCGCAGGCGGUUUCUUAAGUCUGAUGUGAAAGCCUUCGGCUCAACCGAAGAAGUGCAUCGGAAACUGGGAAACUUGAGUGCAGAAGAGGACAGUGGAACUCCAUGUGUAGCGGUGAAAUGCGUAGAUAUAUGGAAGAACACCAGUGGCGAAGGCGGCUGUCUGGUCUGUAACUGACGCUGAGGCUCGAAAGCAUGGGUAGCAAACAGGAUUAGAUACCCUGGUAGUCCAUGCCGUAAACGAUGAGUGCUAGGUGUUGGAGGGUUUCCGCCCUUCAGUGCCGCAGCUAACGCAUUAAGCACUCCGCCUGGGGAGUACGACCGCAAGGUUGAAACUCAAAGGAAUUGACGGGGGCCCGCACAAGCGGUGGAGCAUGUGGUUUAAUUCGAAGCAACGCGAAGAACCUUACCAGGUCUUGACAUCCUUUGACCACUCUAGAGAUAGAGCUUUCCCUUCGGGGACAAAGUGACAGGUGGUGCAUGGUUGUCGUCAGCUCGUGUCGUGAGAUGUUGGGUUAAGUCCCGCAACGAGCGCAACCCUUAUUACUAGUUGCCAGCAUUUAGUUGGGCACUCUAGUGAGACUGCCGGCGACAAACCGGAGGAAGGUGGGGACGACGUCAAAUCAUCAUGCCCCUUAUGACCUGGGCUACACACGUGCUACAAUGGAUGGUACAACGAGUUGCGAGACCGCGAGGUUUAGCUAAUCUCUUAAAACCAUUCUCAGUUCGGAUUGUAGGCUGCAACUCGCCUACAUGAAGCCGGAAUCGCUAGUAAUCGCGGAUCAGCAUGCCGCGGUGAAUACGUUCCCGGGCCUUGUACACACCGCCCGU
rnacentral:rRNA from 1 species